AGAGAACAGAUCCACAGAUAAUAUGGACAAUGGAGGGACUGUAUUAUGUCUUACAUUGAAACUCUGAUGGCCAAUAUACAGUACAUUAUGGUUUUUAAAAUAUUAAUUGCGCAGGUUGGAAAGGACAGAAGGAACUUAGGUAGAGGGACUGUGCGUGUGUGCUCCUGCACAGUGAAAGGAGCCACAGAGGAUGUCCUCCUGAAACAGUCACAUCUUGUCUGACUGGCAGUUCAAGAGCUCUUCAUUACAGCCCCACUGUGUCCAAGGGAAAGAAAAACAACGCGCCCAGCCUGGGACCUGUAACCUUGCCAUUUAAUCAGGAGUUCAAACUGCAUUGUCUCCCACCACCACAUCAUUUAGUCUCUGAGGCUUGAGAGCAACUUUGAGGCAAAUGGCUUCAUAUCAAGCUAGGCAGAAAUAACUCUCACCGCAUCACACUAGUAAACGCACUUAGACGAAUGUUGAAGAUUUCCAAGGCCCCCUGGAACCUGCGCUAUCAGAAACAACGAUGGGGUUCUGAAGAUGGUAAGGGACGAAGCGCUACAAUGGAUGCUAGCGCACUAGAAACAUAGUUGAAACACACUGCACACAUUACACCAGUAUCAGUGCACAAACAAGCUAACAACAACAGCAAUGUAAAAGCUGAACUUGAGCUUGCUUACCAGCUGCUUUUGUGGUUGUCAUUUAACUUAUUGUAGCUAGGUAGCUAGCUAACCACUGUCCUCCUGCCUAGCUUCCUGAUGCACAGGUCUGCAGAUUCACUUUUUCAUAGGGUUGGGGUCCCCAAAUCAAAUCUUGUUAAGGGCCCCAAAAAUAGUAAAACCGGAACUUCUCAAAAAGGUGGCUUACAGAGUUAUGUAUGACUUGUUAUCUACACUAAACAAAAAAUAUAAACACAUGUAAAG